CUGAAAAGAAAUGAGCAGUCGGGCCA
rnacentral:piRNA from 1 species